AAGGCUUGACAUCCUACGAACCUUAAGGAAACUUAGGGGUGCCCUUCGGGGAGCGUAGAGAC
rnacentral:rRNA from 1 species